AUGGAGGUAAAACCACCACCAGGUCGCCCCCAGCCCGACUCCAGCCGUCGGCCGUCGCUGCCAGAGAGAGGAGGGCCAUGAUCCAAAGGAACCAGAGCAGGUGGGAAAACUGUUUAUUGGUGGUCUGAGCUUUGAAACUACAGAUGAUAGUUUAAGAGAACAUUUUGAGAAAUGGGGCACACUCACAGAUUGUGUGGUAAUGAGAGACUCCCAAACAAAACGUUCCAGGGGCUUAGGUUUUGUGACUUAUUCUUGUGUUACAGAGGUGGAUGCAGCAAUGUGUGCUUGACCACACAAGGUUGAUGGGCGUGCAGUGGAACCAAAGAGAGCUGUUUCUAGAGAGGAUUCUGUAAAGCCUGGUGCCCAUCUAACAGUGAAGAAAAUUUUUGUUGGUGGUAUUAAAGAAGAUACAGAAGAAUAUAAUUUGAGAAACUACUUUGAAAAGUAUGGCAAGAUUGAAACCAUAGAAGUUAUGGAAGACAGACAGGCAGAAUGGAAAAAAGAGAGGAUUUGCUUUUGUAACUUUCGAUGGUCACGAUACAGUUGAUAAAAUUGUUGUUCAGAAAUACCACACUAUUAAUAGGCAUAAUUGUGAAGUGAAAAAGGCCGUUUCUAAAUAAGAGAUGCAGUCUCCUGCAUCACAGAGGGGUCGUGGAGGUGGAUCAGGCAAUUUUAUGGGUUGCAGAGGAAACUUUGGAGGUGGUGGAGGUAAUUUUGGCUGCGGUGGAAACUUUGGUGGAAGAGGAGGCUACGGUGGUGGAGGUGGUGGCAGCAGAGGUAGUUAUGGAGGAGUUGAUGGUGGAUAUAAUGGAUUUGGAGGUGAUGGUGGCAACUAUGGCAGUGGUCCUGGUUGUAGUAGUAGAGGGGGCUAUGGUGGUGGUGGACCAGGAUAUGGAAACCAAGGUGGUGGAUAUGGUGGAGGUGGUGGAGGAUAUGAUGGUUACAAUGAAGGAGGAAAUUUUGGCGGUGGUAACUGUGGUGGUGGUGGGAACUAUAAUGAUUUUGGAAAUUAUAGUGGACAACAGCAAUCAAAUUAUGGACCCAUGAAAGGGGGCAGUUUUGGUGGAAGAAGCUCGGGCAGUCCCUAUGGUGGUGGUUAUGGAUCUGGUGGUGGAAGUGGUGGAUAUGGUAGCAGCAGAUUGUAAAAACAGGAGGAAAGGGCUACAGUUCUUAGCAGGAGAGAGAGCGAGGAGUUGUCAGGAAAGCGAGGAUCAGGUUACUUUGAGACAGUCGUCCCAAAUGCAUUAGAGGAACUGUAAAAAUCUGCCACAGAAGGAACGAUGAUCCAUAGUCAGAAAAGUUACUGCAGCUUAAACAGGAAACCCUUCUUGUUCAGGACUGUCAUAGCCACAGUUUGCAAAAAGUGCAGCUAUUGAUUAAUGCAAUGUAGUGUCAAUUAGAUGUACAUUCCUGAGGUCUUUUUUCUGUUGUAGCUUUGUCUUUUUCUUUUUCUUUUCAUUACAUCAGGUAUAUUGCCCUGUAAAUUGUGGUAGUGGUACCAGGAAUAAAAAAUUAAGGAAUUUUUAACUUUUCAAAAAAAAAAAAAAAAA